AACGCGAAGAACCUUACCUACCCUUGACAUGCCAGGAAUCCUGCAGAGAUGUGGGAGUGCUCGAAAGAGAACCUGGACACAGGUGCUGCAUGGCCGUCGUCAGCUCGUGUCGUGAGAUGUUGGGUUAAGUCCCACAACGAGCGCAACCCUUGUCAUUAGUUGCUACGAAAGGGCACUCUAAUGAGACUGCCGGCGACAAACCGGAGGAAGGUGGGGAUGACGUCAGGUCAUCAUGGCCCUUAUGGGUAGGGCUACACACGUCAUACAAUGGCCGGGAUAGAGGGCUGCCAACCCGCGAGGGGGAGCUAAUCCCAGAAACCCGGUCGUAGUCCGGAUCGUAGUCUGCAACUCGACUGCGUGAAGUCGGAAUCGCUAGUAAUCGCGGAUCAGCUUGCCGCGGUGAAUACGUUCCCGGGUCUUGUACACACCG
rnacentral:rRNA from 1 species